rnacentral:rRNA from 1 species
CGGAGGAUGCAAGUGUUAUCCGGAAUCACUGGGCGUAAAGCGUCUGUAGGUGGUCAAAUAAGUCAACUGUUAAAUCUUGAGGCUCAACCUCAAAAUCGCAGUCGAAACUAUUCGACUAGAGUAUAGUAGGGGUAAAGGGAAUUUCCAGUGGAGCGGUGAAAUGCGUAGAGAUUGGAAAGAACACCGAUGGCGAAGGCACUUUACUGGGCUAUUACUAACACUCAGAGACGAAAGCUAGGGUAGCAAAUGGGAUUAGAUACCCCAGUAGUCCUAGCUGUAAACAAUGGAUACUAGAUGUUGAACAGAUCGACCUGUGCAGUAUUAAAGCUAACGCGUUAAGUAUCCCGCCUGGGAAGUAUGCUCGCAAGAGUG